rnacentral:tRNA from 1 species
UGCCUUGUGGUGUAAUGGUAGCACGCAGGUUUCUGGCACCUUUAGUGAGGGUUCGAAUCCUUCCAAGGCAACCA